rnacentral:rRNA from 1 species
GACGAACGCUGGCGGCGUGCUUAACACAUGCAAGUCUAACGGAAAGGCCCUGCUUUUGUGGGGUGCUCGAGUGGCGAACGGGUGAGUAACACGUGAGUAACCUGCCUUUGACUUUGGGAUAACUUCAGGACACUGUGGCUAAUACCGGAUAGGAGCUCCUGCUGCAUGGUUGGGGUUGGAAAGUUUCGGCGGUUGGGGAUGGACUCGCGGCUUAUCAGCUUGUUGGUGGGGUAGUGGCUUACCAAGGCUUUGACGGGUAGCCGGCCUGAGAGGGUGACCGACAACAUUGGGAAAGAGAUACGGCACAGACUCCUACGGGAGGCAGAAGAAGGGAAAAUUGUACAAUGGGCGGAAGCCUGAAGCAGCAACAAAGAAUGGGGGAUGACGACAUUAGGGUUGUAAUCCACAUUCGCCAGUGAAGAAGCGUGAGUGACGGUAAUGGGUAAAGAAGCACCGGCUAAAUAAGAG